rnacentral:rRNA from 1 species
CCUUAAUAGCGGCUGCACCAUUAGGAUGUCCUGAUCCAACAUCGAGGUCGUAAACCCCCUCGUCGAUAGGGACUCUGGGAGAGGAUUGCGCUGUUAUCCCUAGGGUAACUCGGUCCGUUGAUCGGCGUUCGCCGGAUCAUUUUUGGUCAGAAAUUCUGGUGCUUAGAGUUGUGGCUCUUGGUUGUGGGGGCAGUGCCCCCAGUCCACAUGGGGGCUUUGUUUUCCCCCGCGGUCGCCCCAACCAAAGACAUAGGGGCUAGGGGUCACUGUGUUUUUACUUGUUAAUUCAAGGUUACUUGACGUGAUCUGCCUGGUGUCUAAAGCUCCAUAGGGUCUUCUCGUCUUAUGUAUUUAUGUCCGCUUCUGCACGGG